rnacentral:rRNA from 1 species
AACGCUGGCGGCGCGUCUUAAACAUGCAAGUCGAGCGGCAGCACUUCGGGUGGCGAGCGGCGAACGGGUGAGUAACACGUAGGUAAUUUGCCCACGGAUGGGGGAUAACCUUUCGAAAGGAAGGCUAAUACCGCAUAACACCACGGUGUCUAUGGACAUUGUGGUCAAAGCAGCAAUGCGUCUGUGGAGAAGCCUGCGUCCGAUUAGGUAGUUGGUGAGGUAACGGCUCACCAAGCCAGCGAUCGGUAGCCGGCCUGAGAGGGUGAACGGCCAC